CAGUGUGCGUUCAGGGCGAGGUUGAUCUAGGGUUCGUCGGCUGAGCGGGCGAUCUCCUUAAGCAUUAAGGUUUAGCGCUUUUUGAAAUUUUGUACUCUUAAUUAACAUUUGCACGACGCACCCCGGGCUACUCUGAUUAUCUCCAUGACGGUGAUAGCCCCAUUGCUCGUGCUAGAGUGCUGCCGUUUAGUGUUGCAGCUUGUUUUCUGCAGAUAAAGCAUAUGAAAAUGAAGCUAGUCAUAGAGGCCGAGAUCUAAUCUUCGGCGGUGUUCACGUGGGGGCCUAUCUUUUCAAUGUUUGUGCCUCUAAAAACUUCCGCUAUAUACCUUUUUAUCCCAAUUUGAAUCGAUUUUUCUGGGUUGUUGUUUUGUUUUCUUGUUUAAAAGCUUCGCUUUAAGGGUUAUAGAUGAGAGUUGUUGGCUAUGAUUACACAUUAUCCGCGCUUCCGAGGUUAUACGAUGAAGCAAACUUAAAAACAAAUGGUUGAAUUUCUUAAUAUGAGCCACAUUUCUUCUAUCAUUAAUUUAUUUAAUUUUCGCUAAUUUAGUUGUUGCUUUCAAAUCUGGCCGUGAUGAUUGAACUUCAGCUUAUAUGCCAGUUCUGCUUCAGAAUUUGAUGAUUGAUAAAGCUGUUACAUAUUAUCUGAGCCUUAAAUCUGCAUAUCAAUUUUUCCAAUGAUGAUACAAUCCGUUUGUUUGAGACAUUGUGGAUCCAAGACCCUGUUUCAGGGAGAACCUACUUGGUGAAGCCUUGUUCACAUGAUAUCAAUGGAUUUAACUGAGGGUUCACCAUAUUUAGACAAUAGUUUAAUUUCCAUUUUUUUUACCCUUUUCGUGUUGAAAUCAUUUGAUACAAGAGUUUUUUUUAAUUUGAUUUAGCCUUUGAUGAUACAAUCCAACUUUCUGAGAUGUUGUGAAGCCAAGACCCUGUUUCAGGGAGAACCUACUUGGUGGAAUAACAUUUGUAUGAGUUAUAUGGAUUUCGCUGAGGCUUUUUUUAGUCAUAUUUAAUUUUAAUCUUGAUUCAAAAUUUUGUUUAUUUUACCAUUUUUAUUACUUGAAUACUCACUUUGUUUAGCAUGUUUCCUUGAUAUGAGUUUAACUAUACACAUCCCUUUUAUAAUGUGGGAAUGUAGUCUGAAAAACUCAGAAAUUGUGUGUUGUCAUCAGCUUCUUCUCGCCAAAUUAGGAGGUUGGAGUUAAAUAACAGCACUAAAUUCACCACACCAUUGUAUUUUUCGAUUUUUCAUUUGUUUGUAGUCGUUAUUGUCUUUGUUUUGUUUGUUGUUUGUCUUUGUGUUCUGCAGAUUGAAUUCAAUGCGUGGUGUCUUUGUUGGAAGCCGUGCAAAACAGCAAUCGCCUGUUGUAUCGUAUUCGAAUUUGUAUUUGUAGUUCAUGUUUCUUUGUAAUCUUUCUCGACAAUAAUUUCAACUCCAAAUUGCUAAUUUGCCCAUGUUUCUUUAUCCCAGGUGUCACAGUGAUAUUGAUAUUGUAUUUUUGUUAAUACUAAGAUUAAGUUUGUUCUC